rnacentral:rRNA from 1 species
GGACCCGCACAAGCGGUGGAUGAUGUGGUUUAAUUCGAUGCAACGCGAAAAACCUUACCUACCCUUGACAUGGCAGGAAUCUCGCAGAGAUGUGAGAGUGCUCGAAAGAGAACCUGCACACAGGUGCUGCAUGGCCGUCGUCAGCUCGUGUCGUGAGAUGUUGGGUUAAGUCCCGCAACGAGCGCAACCCUUGUCAUUAGUUGCUACGAAAGGGCACUCUAAUGAGACUGCCGGUGACAAACCGGAGGAAGGUGGGGAUGACGUCAGGUCCUCAUGGCCCUUAUGGGUAGGGCUACACACGUCAUACAAUGGCCGGUACAGAGGGCUGCCAACCCGCGAGGGGGAGCCAAUCCCAGAAAACCGGUCGUAGUCCGGAUCGCAGUCUGCAACUCGACUGCGUGAAGUCGGAAUCGCUAGUAAUCGCGGAUCAGCUUGCCGCGGUGAAUACGUUCCCGGGUCUU